CCCUGAUCACUUGGCUGAUGUGGGGUCUCCCUCCACUUAACAGAUGGGGAAACUGAGGCUUGGAGAGGCUAAGCUGCUUGCACUACAGUGUGUGGUGGGACAGAAUGUGAACCAGGCCUGAGUCCCAUUAUCCCAUAGUUCUUUGGCGUCUUAGACAGGGAAACUGAGGCAGGAGCCCAGCUCUAGGAAUAGGAAGGUGAGAGAGGCUGCACUAUAGAAUCUACAUGAAGUUUGCAGCAGGAGAACUGAGCCCAAGACUUCUUGAGGGGUAAGGCACUGUCAGAAUCAGCCUGGGGGCUCAGAAGCUACCGUAGACUCUAGCCAGGAGGGGCAGGGAAAGGAGACAGGCUGGGGCAAGGGCCGUGGCUCAGCCAGGUAGGAAGGAUGAAGUAAGGAGGGAAUGGCAAACAUGAUUGGGCCAGAGCAAUCCAGGAAGGCUCCCUGGAAGAGAAGGCUGAGAUUAUAGGAACAGUCAGAAAGGCAGCUCAGGUGUGAGGUCUGUCCCAGGAGACAAGAGAGCAAAGUGUUUAAGACCAGGAGCCUUGGAGUCUGACAAGACUGGGCUCAGUUCCUUGUGCUACCACCUCCUAACUAAGUGGUCUUGGGCAAGUCACUGCUUCCCACGCCGAUUUGGGGCUUUCUAGCUCCCAGACUUUGCUGCCCUGCUCCCCCACCUGAGAUGCCCCUUCCUGAGCCAGCUCUCAGACCUUCCCAGCCUGGACAGCGACACACUCUGUGUGACCCAGUGAAAAAUGAAAAUGCGACACACUUGCUCAAAAAUUAUUAAGAAUUUCAAGACGGCGAUGGAGAGCAUUAAACCAAAUGUGGCAUCCGUCAAGGCAGGGGGCCCCGGGUGACUGCACAGGUCACAUGCCCACCAAGGCGAUCCCAUCCCCCACCCUCAGUGACCACCCGGAACCCGUGAUCUGAUGGCUGUUUUUUCCCUGUGGUUCUUGGCCAUUAAUCAUAAGCUGCCUCAGCCGCCGCUCGGGCCCCCGCAUGGAGCAGCUGCUCUGCUCUCCCGUGGCUUUUCCUCAUCUUGCCCUGGGUGGGAGGUUGGAUGGGAUGAGCAGCAAGGUGCUUCCAACAGUUGCAUUUGGUGUCCUUUUAUUUUCUGGCUCUAAUAUUUUGUGCCAGGAAGCUCCUGCACUCCCGUGCCUAAGAUCCUAUGAGUCGGGGUUCAGAGGUUUUAGAUGCAAGAAGGCUCGGAAGAAUUUUAUUUACUUAUGAUUUGCAAAUUUGAAACGUGAAAUUCACUGUGAAUUUUGCAGGAAUCACUCGAUUCUUAAAAGUGGUGUGUGUCCCAGAGUCCGUCGGGCUGCAGUGGCGGGUCCCUCAGCAGGGUGCCGUUAGCCCGGCUGGCGCAUUUUCAGUUUGUGUAUUGCUGCUUGUUUGUUAAUUUCCCCUUUUUCCCCCCUUAUUGUCAAGAGGCAGAAUGUUAGAAUCAGCCCACCUGCAUCGUCUCUUAUCUCCUCCACGAAAACGUGUGUGAGUUGCUU
rnacentral:lncRNA from 1 species